AUACGUAGGGAGCGAGCGUUGUCCGGAAUUACUGGGCGUAAAGGGUGCGUAGGCGGUUUGGCAAGUCAGAUGUGAAAUCCCCGGGCUUAACUCGGGAGUUGUAUUUGAAACUGCUGAACUUGAGUGCAGGAGAGGAAAGCGGAAUUCCUAGUGUAGCGGUGAAAUGCGUAGAUAUUAGGAGGAACACCAGUGGCGAAGGCGGCUUUCUGGACUGUAACUGACGCUGAGGCACGAAAGCGUGGGGAGC
rnacentral:rRNA from 1 species